rnacentral:rRNA from 1 species
AACGAACGCUGGCGGCAUGCCUAACACAUGCAAGUCGAACGAGACCUUCGGGUCUAGUGGCUCACGGGUGCGUAACGCGUGGGAACCUGCCCUUAGGUUCGGAAUAACUCCCCGAAAGGGGUUCUAAUACCGGAUAAUGUCUUCGGACCAAAGAUUUAUCGCCUUUGGAUGGGCCCGCGUUGGAUUAGCUAGUUGGUAGGGUAAAAGCCUACCAAGGCGACGAUCCAUAGCUGGUCUGAGAGGAUGAUCAGCCACACUGGGACUGAGACACGGCCCAGACUCCUACGGGAGGCAGAAGUGGGGAAUAUUGAACAAUGGGCGAAAGGCUGAUCCAGCAAUGCCGCGUGAGUGAUGAAGGCCUUAGGGUUGUAAAGCUCUUUUACCCGGGAUGAUAAUGACAGUACCGGGAGAAUAAGCUCCGGCUAACUCCGUG